rnacentral:rRNA from 1 species
AAAAAUUUUAGUUGGUGGAGCGAUUUGUCUGGUUAAUUCCGAUAACGAACGAGACUCUAGCCUGCUAAAUAGUUCGGGGAUCCUCUAUCGAGUCCCCGUCAACUUCUUAGAGGGACAAGUGGCGCUUAGCCACACGAGAUUGAGCAAUAACAGGUCUGUGAUGCCCUUAGAUGUUCGGGGCCGCACAUGCGCUACACUGAAUGGAUCAGCGUGCGUCUCGCCUGAUCCAGAGAGGGUUGGGAAACCCGUUGAACCCCAUUCGUGCUAGGGAUUGGGGCUUGCAAUUGUUCCCCAUGAACGAGGAAUUCCCAGUAAGCGCGAGUCAUCAGCUCGCGUUGAUUACGUCCCUGCCCUUUGUACACACCGCCCGUCGCUA